GACGAACGCUGGCGGCGUGCUUAACACAUGCAAGUCGAACGGAAAGGCCCUGCUUUUGUGGGGUGCUCGAGUGGCGAACGGGUGAGUAACACGUGAGUAACCUGCCCUUGACUUUGGGAUAACUUCAGGAAACUGGGGCUAAUACCGUAUAGGAGCUCCUGCUGCAUGGUGGGGGUUGGUAAGUUUCGGCGGUUGGGGAUGGACUCGCGGCUUAUCAGCUUGUUGGUGGGGUAGUGGCUUACCAAGGCUUUGACGGGUAGCCGGCCUGAGAGGGUGACCGGCCACAUUGGGACUGAGAUACGGCCCAGACUCCUACGGGAGGCAGCAGUGGGGAAUAUUGCACAAUGGGCGGAAGCCUGAUGCAGCAACGCCGCGUGCGGGAUGACGGCCUUCGGGUUGUAAACCGCUUUCGCCUGUGACGAAGCGUGAGUGACGGUAAUGGGUAAAGAAGCACCGGCUAACUACGUG
rnacentral:rRNA from 1 species